rnacentral:tRNA from 1 species
GUCGUUGUAGUAUAGUGGUGAGUAUACUUGUCUGUCACGCAGGAGACUCGAGUUCGAUCCUCAACUAUGAAA